AUCAGCAUCGACGGACCGAGGAGUUCGGUUUAAUUCUUACAGAGGAAACUCCUAAAAAUUAAGUAACUAAACUAACUAAUCGUCGAAGGUUAAUAAAAAUGUGGAGGAUUGUCUUGUUGUUAUCGGUGCUGAUCGGGGCUUUGUGUCCUGCUGCCGAUGGAAGGCCUCUGCUGUCUGUGAACAACACUCAGCAACAAUACCAGGCAGAGGAACACUCAAACGUCACACUUUCGUUUCCAGUUAACUCUACCUCUGACUCACUGUACAUCGAUCUGAUGGUCAUAGAGUCACAGAGGAGCAUUUAUCUGUAUGACAGCAAAAAUCUGCCUGAUCCGUAUAUAAAUGAUCAGUUCAAAGGUCGACUCCAGUGCGACCUCCAGCUGGACAGGAAUGGGUGGAUUGAGUGUUUCCUGUCUGACCUGAGGCUGAGCGACGCAGGAUGGUAUCAGUUGAUUGUUGUCAGUAAAGGAAGAAGUAACCUCACAAAAAUGGAGCUUGUAGUUGGAGCUGUCAUGCAUCAAACUCAAGAAGGACCUCCAAAGCCAACAGAACGGGGAUGGAUUGGGAUGUGUAUGUCACUUGGUUUACUUGUGGUAAUAGGCAUCAUCAUUACAUUUUGCAACUUUACCCGGUUGAUCAGUUGUCUGAGAGACAACUUAUCUCACAAUGUCUCCUCUGAACUAGGAGAACAUUUCUAAAACAAAAAAAGAAAAGCUAAGCAUUCAAGCAGUGAGCUUCCUGGAAGCUCAGCACCCAAUGUAGCUUCACACCACCUAACCACUUCAGCUGCACCUACCUCACUCAAUGUUCAAACAGCUGUAGUGGUGGAAGCUCUGUUUGAUGUAUUUUUGGUUUACGGACCGUGUUUCUCUCUAUGGUUUUAUUUAUAAACCGUUUUUCCUCCCCCAUUUUCAUGGGGUUUAAAGCACUCUGUGUCAGUAGUUUGACUGAUUCCCAGCACCUACAAAUAGCAUAACGCUAAAGAGACUUAGUCAAAAAAUAAGCUCAAUCUCUGGCUUCUAAUAGCAUUACAGAGAACGCAUUAUUUAUUCCAUGAGAUAAAAAAAUGCAACCUGCACAAACAUUCAUGUGAUGUCCAACGACAGUAUUUCAUGGAGCUACAGUUCUACUGACACUCAGAAAGUACUUUCACAAUGUUUUACACACUCAACCAAGAAAACACUAUCGACCUCCAAACUGUGGUCGUUUUGCACUCUGUUCUUGGGAAAAAACAGUGUUCACGUUAUUAUGCCUAAGUAGUGAUGGAAAUACACAUUUUCGUGAUUUCUUAACUGCGACAUUUCCAGUGAAUGUGAAAGAAAAAAAAAAGUCAGACCUACAAAUGAUGCAUGAAUGCAUAAUGUUGGUCAAAAAGAGAUGCAGUCAUGGUAAAAAGAAAGUACACCUGCUUUCAGUUUUAGGGCUUGAUGUACUUGAUGUACAUCAAGUAUCGUUCUUGAUCAAGUAUCAAGAACGAUCUUUUAUAUAAAUGUAUAUAUCUAACUGCAACUGUGCGCAAACACAACAGGGUUCAUAUAUCAAUAUUCAGUAAACAAACAUAUUGCAAACAUGGAAAAAUAUUAGCAGUGACCUCAGAAAAGAAAACAUUGCUGUUCUGCAAUCUAGACAAAAAUUUCCACUUCCAAGCAGUUUAAAUCCCAUUGUUCCACAGUUGGAAACAAAUAUUAACAACAUGAAACAUUUAACCAACUUAUGUCAAAUUCAAGACAAAACUUAAAGAUAACAGGUGUGUGCUUAAAUAUUAUCAAUCAAAUCAAAGUAGUUUUUAUAUGCAUAGCGUCAAAUUACAUCAAUGUCAAAGGAUUUUAAGAAGUACACUUUGAAUGAAGAGACAGCUUUUUAUUUACAUAGUAAUGGGUAGUUUUACAAAUACGUUCUGCCACAUCAGGUUGUUUGAAGAUGAUUAUGAUCCUCAAAUUUAUUCAGACAGCAAUAUUUAUAUUUCUCUUCAACCAGUUCGCUUCCACCAUCUGAUUUUUGUAUCUGCAGGUGACACGGUUACUUUUGAGGAAUAUUUAUCUGUCGUGAUGAAGAAUUAUGUGCAUUUUUACAAUUCUUUAAUAAAACGUAUCGUUAUUCACGGAGGAGGCCGUCUGCAGAAACUGUGGCACUUUCUGUGAUCGUUUUGUAAAAACUGAAGAGAAUCUGCGCCGUUGUAUGGAAGAUGUGCAUGAGUACAAACGCGUUGAAACAACGUGACUGCACCUCGACUGAUUGGCUUUGGGUGAAACGUGUCGGCGCCCUUAGAGAAACGGCAAAAUACCCAAGAGCUUCAUCUCAGACGCUACAGACUCUAAUACGCAUGUUAAAUGUCAAGAACACUAAGAAAGUGUUAACUGAGCCACACAUUGAGAUGUUCUACUAAAGUAUACAACAGUAGUUCGGCAAAAAUGCAAAAAAGAAAAAAACAGUGAUCUUAAAGAUCUCACAGACAAAGUCAUGGUAGGUUUGGCUGGUAAUUUAACUCCAGGAUAAUGUCAGACAUGAAAAGUGUCUAUGAAAUAAACCUUCAUCGUCCUCAAUGGAAAGAAGCGACACAGGAAAGAGGAAAAACCCACAUCUCUCCACAAACGUACAGUUCUUUUUACUAUGACUGCAGGCCAGAUGGGCCAACCAACUUUUAUUCUGAAAAGACUUUCAGAAUAAGUUGGUUAAAUGUUAAACUUUUCUGAAAAGUUUCAGGAAAAAAACUCUUAGUACCCCUGAGCAAGGCUCUAAGAGCAGGUUGCUGCCAGUAUGGAAAGUGAUACUGGUAAAUCCCUGUUGUGGUAUUCUCCACUAUCAAGUUCAGAGGACUCCAAAGCACUUCAUACUGCUUUCAGUCCUUCACUCUCACACUCACUCUCACACUGGUGCAGCAGGUGAGUGAGGCUGCAGCACAAAGCGUUUUGAUUGGUCGUCGCGACCUGCAAAAUGCUUCAUAAGUUCGUUCACCUUAAUAAUGAAGGUGAGUUUAUCUUGGAUAAACUAAAUCUUAGUUUAUCUAAGAUUUACUCCGGGAUGAUGUUUCUGUUUCUGAGCUUCUCUCUGGGUUCUUUUAUUUUUAGGGCUUUAAAGAAUCACAUGUUACUUUAUGGUUUUGGGUAAAAAAAAAGUAUAAUCAUUACUUUAUAUCUGUUUCUCAUUUAAUCCAACUAAAUGUUCCUUUGGUUGAUUUUUUUUUCUCUUUGUUUACUGUUUGACUUUGUUAAACUUCGUUCUUUUAACUUUUUGUUUCAGUCUGAAUCUGCUGUACUGCAAUAAAUUCAUGUAAAUAUUUGAUUUGUGCUGUUAAAAUAAA